AUGGGCCCCAUGUCAGCAAUAAUGCUCAAAGCAUCUAAGGGACAUGAGAUGGCCACGUGGGCUAGUGGAAGCACAAAGGGCAUUUGCACAAAAGGGACAAACCAAAAGAGAGAGCCUAUUUCAGUUUCGGGAACGAAUCGUGUGACUUUGCAGCGGGAAAGUAACGUGACUUUAGGUCAUUUUUAUCCAUUUGAUCGAUUGAGUCUACCUGAUUCUCCCACAUGUAUUAAUUUUUAUAAUAUUUUAAGAAAACAAACCAAACCACCUUCUUCCUCAUCCUACACUUUCGUACCUCUUUCUUUCUUCCAUGGUUAUUGCCCUUGA